AGUGAACGCUGGCGGUAGGCCUAACACAUGCAAGUCGAACGGCAGCACAGUAAGAGCUUGCUCUUACGGGUGGCGAGUGGCGGACGGGUGAGGAAUACAUCGGAAUCUACUUUUUCGUGGGGGAUAACGUAGGGAAACUUACGCUAAUACCGCAUACGACCUACGGGUGAAAGCAGGGGAUCUUCGGACCUUGCGCGAUUGAAUGAGCCGAUGUCGGAUUAGCUAGUUGGCGGGGUAAAGGCCCACCAAGGCGACGAUCCGUAGCUGGUCUGAGAGGAUGAACGGCCACAGUGGAAUUGGAACCGGGUCCAGACUCACAGGGGAGGCGCGGGGGGGAAUUGUUGGACAAUGGGCGCAAGCUGUAUCCACCCAUCCGGGGUGGGGAAAAAGGGCUUUGGGUUUGAAAAGCCUUUUUGUUGGAAAAAAAAAGCAACAGUUUAAUACCCCGCUGUUCGGGGGGUACCAAAAAAAUAAGCCCCGGCAAACUUGGUG
rnacentral:rRNA from 1 species